GUUAUGUUCUUUAAAUUUAAAAAAUUUGGCGGUAUUUUAGUCUUAUUAGAGGAACCUGUUUUUUAAUUGAUAAUCCACGAUUAAUUUUACUUAUUUUAAAUAAUUCAUAUAUCGCUGUCAUGAAUAUAUUUAAAAAUUUAUUUUCUUUAUUUAUUAUUAUAAUUUAUGUUAAGUCAAGAUGUGGUUAAUAAAUAAGUAUAUAAUGGGUUACAUUAAAUUUUAUUUUUGGAUUUUAAAUGAAAAUUAAAAUGAAAUUGGAUUUAAUAGUAAAUUUAUUUAUUUAAUUAAUAUGAAAAAAGAUCUAAAAUAUGUACAUAUUGCCCGUCAUUCUUAUUAAAAAUAAGACAAGAUCGUAACAAAGUAAGUGUACUGGAAAGUGUAUUUAGAAAGAUAUUUAAUAUAAA
rnacentral:rRNA from 1 species